UACGUAGGGGGGCAAGCGUUGUCCGGAUUUAUUGGGCGUAAAGAGCGUGUAGGCGGCCAGACAAGUCCGUUGUGAAAACUAGAGGCUUAACCUCUAGACGUCGAUGGAAACUGUUUGGCUAGAGUCCGGAAGAGGAGAUGGAAUUCCUGGUGUAGCGGUGAAAUGCGCAGAUAUCAGGAAGAACACCCGUGGCUAAGGCGGUCUCU
rnacentral:rRNA from 1 species